rnacentral:lncRNA from 1 species
GGAUCAUCUGCUGUGGGUGUUCCUGAUCUUUGAGCCAUGAUAAUGUUACUGGUUGGAUGUCAGGAGCAGGCCAUGUGGAUGAUUAAAAGAUGAAUAUCAUAUACAGCAUGGAUAUGUUGGACAAAAAGAUGAUUCACAUCCCAGACAGAAUGGAGCAGUUGUUCUUCCAGAUGGCAUGAAUCCAACAGUGAAGAAAUCAGAAUACGUUGCUUUUGUGAGGGGCAGCUGCUGAUUUUCUCUGAGCUCCGUUUCCAGCCUUCACAUGCUCUGCUAUUCAUCACAGGGUAAAUUCUGACUAUAGGAGGUACUGACAGAAGAUUAGGGAAGAACAGAGGGCUAAAUGUUUAUUGACUUCUUGAAAAAUGCUAUGUGUCUUGCCAGACUUAGCUUACAAGUUUGGUUAAAGAGAGACUGACAUGAGCAUAAAGGAAGGGACAUUGAAAGAGGCAGAGAUGAAGGAAGAAAUUGUAACUUACUCCUUUUAUCCCACCCAUCAAAGGAAAGACAAGUUGACAGGUAUCUGCAGUCUUGCCAAUUAGGCCUGCAAAGGAAACAAACAUACGUGUGUUCCAAUCGGAGAAGUCAGAAGUCACUAAUGAUGCAGAAAAGCACAUUCCAAGUUUUGGCAAUGCCAUAUAUGUUAGAAAUUAUACUACAAUGCAGUUAGAAAAUAUAUUUUUUAAAAGUCCAAAAAGAUGAAGGAACUAUUUGGGAUCAGGCUGCAAAGCUCUUUAUUAUCUUUUUGCCACUAUAUAAAUAUGGAAAUUGAAAAUAGUAUUGAUUCUGCAACAAACUGAGAAGAAACCUGGCGAUUCACAACAGAGAGCUGAGAAAUCCUAAGUCUGGAUUCCAGCUAAAUGGGAGCAGACUAAAUAGAGCGGCAGUCGGCGAACUACAUGUAGCCCAUGAACAAAAUCCGGUCCAGCACGUGUGUUUUUUUUUACGGCCCACAAAUGAGUCUGUCUUUACAGAUGAAUGUUAAAACUGGGUUGACAAGAGAGAACACUCACUUUGAACCGCAACUAAACAAAAUAUUAUCACCUUUCCCCUCAAAAAAGGUUUUUGUUCUUCUCAUUAGUAAAUUUGUAUUAUGACAAAA